rnacentral:rRNA from 1 species
AUUGAACGCUGGCGGCAGGCCUAACACAUGCAAGUCGAGCGGAUGAAGGGAGCUUGCUCCUGGAUUCAGCGGCGGACGGGUGAGUAAUGCCUAGGAAUCUGCCUGGUAGUGGGGGAUAACGUCCGGAAACGGGCGCUAAUACCGCAUACGUCCUGAGGGAGAAAGUGGGGGAUCUUCGGACCUCACGCUAUCAGAUGAGCCUAGGUCGGAUUAGCUAGUUGGUGGGGUAAAGGCCUACCAAGGCGACGAUCCGUAACUGGUCUGAGAGGAUGAUCAGUCACACUGGAACUGAGACACGGUCCAGACUCCUACGGGAGGCAGCAGUGGGGAAUAUUGGACAAUGGGCGAAAGCCUGAUCCAGCCAUGUCGCGUGUGUGAAGAAGGUCUUCGGAUUAUAAAGCACUUUAAGUUGGGAGGAAGGGCAGUAAGUUAAUACCUUGCUGUUUUGACGUUACCAACAGAAUAAGCACCGGCUAACUUCGUG